AGUGCAAGGAAGUGAAACGUACCACACAGAAUUCCAAUAAAGCAGGAACCCCCCCAACUCCAAUUAAAGAAGUACAAGGGGACUCAGACAAACAUCAUGAGGUGGAGAUGGAUGCAAAUACUGAUCAUACGUACACUGGAAGCCCCAGGACAGGAAGAGAAAAACUUUUUGUGGCAGAGGAAAACUCGAGAAACUCGAAGUUUUUUCAAGAAGCUGAAAAAUGCACUGAAACGAGAGAAGAGGGCUAAGACAACCUACCAAAAACAAGUGGAAGAGCUCUUUGAAAAGAACCUCAUCAGUGCAGAAAAUUGUUACGCACUGCGGUGCCUUGAAGGUCUUGAAACACGACAACUGCGUGCACCUAGCGGACACUGCACUUGUUCAAGCUUAUGUCAUCACAUAUGUGCCACCUGUGUCCGUGAAAGAACCUGAAGAAGAGUGGGUGGAUGAUUUGCAAACUGCUGAAGUGAGUCAAAUGUGAUGAAUGUUGUGCAGUGCAUGGUGGCCGGAACACUGCCACAACACCCUUCAUACACUCUCCUGCUGCAAAAGCAGGAAGGCGGACUGGUAGUACCAUCCUCAGGAACUGUGCAGAUCCUUCAGCUGGCAGAGAACCAUCUACGGCAUCUAUCUAAGUGUGACAACAUCACAAAUGCUUCUGUGCUGAGAGUGCAGAACCUGGUCCUGGCUGCAGGAGGCGCAUCAGAUGUCUUCUGCCAGGAAGAACACGGGAGGGAGACAACAGAUGGCAUUGACAAUCAUGAUCGAGACCUUGUGAAGAAACUAGUAAAGGUAUAUGUGAACCUUCGUAUACAGCGGCUUGUGCAGUUGUACAACGAGAAGAGGAAGCAACACAUUGUUCGCCACAUCUAUCUGAAGACUGUAAAAUUUUUUGGACAGUAACCACAUGAGGGUGAUUCUUAGACUACGGGCACUUAUUAUGUCCUUUGAUCAUAUUGUA